UAGAAGGUAAUGACUUCAUCAUCAGAAUGUGGCCCCUAACUGCGCAGUAAACUUCAUUAAGCCCCAUCAAAAAUUGGAUCAGCUUCAUGUCUUCAUUCAUUUUUUGAUUAUGGGUCUUUGCUCCACACUUGCACUCACAAGAGCAUGUCAUAAAAGUAUUCAACACCUUCAACUGAUCCCAGAUUCUUUUAAGUGAACAGGCUCAGGUACAACACAUAAAGACUGAAACUUAGAGACUACAUUCUCAGACUUAAGACUACAUUUAAGAGAAAACUUCGAAGACUGAAUGUUAGAAAACUUAAUGGAAUUGUUGGCAAUGGAUGUGUUAUCCUUCAGCAUGUAUAAACCAGCAGCACAAUCACCAAACUUCCGAUUAAUCCUCACUGUAGAAAGGUCCUGUAAGAAGCAGCAAUUUUUAGUAAAGAGAACUCCAACAUCUUUUUGCUCAUAGAAUUGAGUAACAGAUAAAAGAUUAUGCUUAAAAGAAGGGACAUAUAGCACAUUUUCUAACUUUACUUGAGAAGACAAAUUAACACUACCCAAGAAAUAAACCUUGACCCUAUAUGCAUUUGGAAUCCUAACAGAGAUAGGUUUAGAUAAUUGUUUUAUAUCAUUCAAAAGUGACUUGUCAUAAGUCAUAUGUUGUGAUGCCCCUGUAUCUAUGAUCCAUUGAUUUUCAGGAAAAGUGGUGUAACAACUAGAGAAAAGAUGCAAUGCUAUAGCAAUACCAGCCAGAUUUGCAUUCACAUCUGCAUAAGAACCUGAAUGGUUGGAACCUUCUGCAUGAACUGAUUGAAACAUCUGAAUCAGAUUUUCACAUUGCUCUUUUGAGAAGCCUUGAGAGUUAACAAAGGUGGACAUAGUGUUUCUUGAAACUGAUGGUAUAGGAUAAGGUGCUUCAUUUGCUUCCAUUGCAUUUGCUUUUGCAUUGCUGAAAUUUUUCUUUCCUUUUGUGAACUUGAAAUCCUGUGGAUACCCAAUCAGCCUAUAACAAUUACCUCUCACAUGAUUAGUCUUUUUACAGUAGGUGCAGUAUAAAUUGUUCCUCCCAUUCGUCAUUUCAGAGUUUCCCCUUUGAGCAAUGUUGUCUCUUACUUCUCCCAUUUUCGCAAGUGCUGGAUUGUGCACAACAGGGUUGUAUCUGGUUGAGAAACUAGAUCCAGGUGUAGUGAACUUGUUAGCGAAAAAAAAACCAACAGAAUCGAUUGAUACAUGUUUACCUGAUUGCACCUCUCUCUGUGAUUCAUCAUGCAGGAUUAUGGAAUAUGCUUGGUAGAAGGUAAUGGCUUCAUCAUCAGAAUGUGGCCCCUAACUGUGCAAUAAACUUCAUUGAGCCCUAUAAAAAAUUGGAUCAGCUUCAUGUCUUCAUUCAUUUUUUGAUUAUGGGUCUUUGCUCCACACUUGCACUCACAAGAGCAUGUCAUAAAAGUGUUCAACACCUUCAACUGAUCCCAGAUUCUUUUAAGUUUAGUAUAGUAUGUUGCAACAUCAUUGCUUCCUUGACUAAUAUUGUUCAACUCUCUUUGCAGCUGAAAAAGUUUGGAACCAUCAGGCUGUCCAUAUCUCUCCUCUAGCUCAGACCACAAAUCCACAUCAGUCGAGAGUAUAUGACACUCUCAGAAAUGUCCUUG
rnacentral:lncRNA from 1 species